AGAGUUUGAUCAUGGCUCAGAUUGAACGCUGGCGGCAGGCCUAACACAUGCAAGUCGAGCGGUAGCACAGAGAGCUUGCUCUCGGGUGACGAGCGGCGGACGGGUGAGUAAUGUCUGGGAAACUGCCUGAUGGAGGGGGAUAACUACUGGAAACGGUAGCUAAUACCGCAUAAUGUCGCAAGACCAAAGUGGGGGACCUUCGGGCCUCAUGCCAUCAGAUGUGCCCAGAUGGGAUUAGCUAGUAGGUGGGGUAACGGCUCACCUAGGCGACGAUCCCUAGCUGGUCUGAGAGGAUGACCAGCCACACUGGAACUGAGACACGGUCCAGACUCCUACGGGAGGCAGCAGUGGGGAAUAUUGCACAAUGGGCGCAAGCCUGAUGCAGCCAUGCCGCGUGUGUGAAGAAGGCCUUCGGGUUGUAAAGCACUUUCAGCGGGGAGGAAGGCGUUAAGGUUAAUAACCUUGGCGAUUGACGUUACCCGCAGAAGAAGCACCGGCUAACUCCGUGCCAGCAGCCGCGGUAAUACGGAGGGUGCAAGCGUUAAUCGGAAUUACUGGGCGUAAAGCGCACGCAGGCGGUCUGUCAAGUCGGAUGUGAAAUCCCCGGGCUCAACCUGGGAACUGCAUUCGAAACUGGCAGGCUAGAGUCUUGUAGAGGGGGGUAGAAUUCCAGGUGUAGCGGUGAAAUGCGUAGAGAUCUGGAGGAAUACCGGUGGCGAAGGCGGCCCCCUGGACAAAGACUGACGCUCAGGUGCGAAAGCGUGGGGAGCAAACAGGAUUAGAUACCCUGGUAGUCCACGCUGUAAACGAUGUCGAUUUGGAGGUUGUGCCCUUGAGGCGUGGCUUCCGGAGCUAACGCGUUAAAUCGACCGCCUGGGGAGUACGGCCGCAAGGUUAAAACUCAAAUGAAUUGACGGGGGCCCGCACAAGCGGUGGAGCAUGUGGUUUAAUUCGAUGCAACGCGAAGAACCUUACCUGGUCUUGACAUCCACAGAACUUAGCAGAGAUGCUUUGGUGCCUUCGGGAACUGUGAGACAGGUGCUGCAUGGCUGUCGUCAGCUCGUGUUGUGAAAUGUUGGGUUAAGUCCCGCAACGAGCGCAACCCUUAUCCUUUGUUGCCAGCGGUUAGGCCGGGAACUCAAAGGAGACUGCCAGUGAUAAACUGGAGGAAGGUGGGGAUGACGUCAAGUCAUCAUGGCCCUUACGACCAGGGCUACACACGUGCUACAAUGGCAUAUACAAAGAGAAGCGACCUCGCGAGAGCAAGCGGACCUCAUAAAGUAUGUCGUAGUCCGGAUUGGAGUCUGCAACUCGACUCCAUGAAGUCGGAAUCGCUAGUAAUCGUAGAUCAGAAUGCUACGGUGAAUACGUUCCCGGGCCUUGUACACACCGCCCGUCACACCAUGGGAGUGGGUUGCAAAAGAAGUAGGUAGCUUAACCUUCGGGAGGGCGCUUACCACUUUGUGAUUCAUGACUGGGGUGAAGUCGUAACAAGGUAACCGUAGGGGAACCUGCGGUUGGAUCACCU
rnacentral:rRNA from 1 species